CUUUAGAAGGGUAAAGGAGGCAGGCGUGCCAUAGAGGAUCCCAAUGACUUGCUGUAAAUAUAAAAUGGCAAAUUAGUCCGAAUAAAUGGACCAAAAGAUAAUAAGUGUAAACACUAUUGCGUUCGACCCUGAGUCAUUCUACAAAAAAUGCUUAAGAUCAUAGUCCUCAUUCAGACCAUCCGGAUGGAGUGUUUCCAAAGUGCUAAUCCA